rnacentral:rRNA from 1 species
AACGAACGCUGGCGGCAUGCCUAACACAUGCAAGUCGAACGGGACCUUCGGAUCUACUUGCUCACACGUGCGUAACGCGUGGGAACCUGCCCUAAGAUUCGGAAUUACACCCCGAAAGGGGGGCUAAUACCGGGUAACGUAUGCUAAUCAAAGAUUUAUCGAAUUUGUGUGAGCACGCGAUGUCUUAGCCAGUUGGUAGUGGAAAAGCCUACCAAGGCGAAGAUACAUAGCUGGUCUGAGAGGAUGAUCAGCCACACUGGGACUGAGACACGGCCCAGACUCCUAGGCGAGGGAGCAGAGGGGAAUACUGGAAAAUCGGCGAAAGGAUGAUGCAGCACUGCUGCGUGAGUGAUGAAGGUGUGAGGGUUGUAAAGCUCUUUUACCCGGCACGGUAAUGACAGUACCGAGAGAAUAAGCUCCGGCUAACUUCGUG